rnacentral:rRNA from 1 species
AGCGAACGCUGGCGGCAGGCCUAACACAUGCAAGUCGAACGGAUCCUUCGGGAUUAGUGGCGGACGGGUGAGUAACACGUGGGAACGUGCCCUUUGGUUCGGAACAACUCAGGGAAACUUGAGCUAAUACCGGAUGUGCUCUUCGGGGGAAAGAUUUAUCGCCAUUGGAGCGGCCCGCGUCUGAUUAGCUAGUUGGUGAGGUAACGGCCCACCAAGGCGACGAUCAGUAGCUGGUCUGAGAGGAUGAUCAGCCACACUGGGACUGAGACACGGCCCAGACCCCUACGGGAGGCAGCAGUGGGGAAUCUUGCGCAAUGGGCGAAAGCCUGACGCAGCCAUGCCGCGUGAAUGAUGAAGGUCUUAGGAUUGUAAAAUUCUUUCAGCGGGGACGAUAAUGACGGUACCCGCAGAAGAAGCUCCGGCUAACUUCGUG